UAAAACCCCAUAAAAUUUAGUUUGAAGUUCUGUAGAAUAAAUGAAAAUUGUGUAGGAGCUUUUUUGUUCCAGCAGCUACAUAUGGGCAUGGGCUGUUGUAAAGAGCAAAUGGGUGAAGUUUCCCCUGUGUCUGAGUUCAAGAAUCAGGCUCCGAGAGUGCUUCGAAAGGUUCGUGGAGCUUAGGAAGCACUUUGGUUCCCUUCACCAACAAAACCAACAGCUGAUUACAGAUGAAUAAUUUGGCUUGGCUUGAGAAGCUUGUGGCAUGGGAGCUGAGCAUUUAUAAGUUUAGCAUUAGAGAGAGAAAGCUUGGAUAUCCAAUGAGAAACAGAGGUUCAAAGCAAGGAGAGAGGGAAUUUUGGGAAGACUUGUUGAGGGAAGAGAGGAAAAGAUGGGGGUGGGAGCAUAGGUGACUUAAGCAAAUUUCGAGCAGCUUGACAAAAGCUUGUCGCGCUCUUGGAGGGUUUUCCAGAGGAGAAAAAGGAAGGAGAUGGGAGGAUAGAGCUCGAAAUUGAAGGGUUCCAAUAGUAAGAGGGGAUGCUUGCUCUCUCUGGAUGUGGUGAUUUGUUGGGUAGGAGAUGCCCCCUUUUAUAGGCGCUGGAAGCUCCUCCUUCGCAAGAAACCCUAGCUGGUUCUUACCAAAUCUGCCAAGUCUCCCCCUCCAUUCCUCUUCCCUUCCUUUGAUUCAUCCCCAUUUUGUGAAAUCCCUCUAAUCCAAACACACAGAGACAAGAUUUUUUUGGAGCUCUAGAGUCUUCCCGCAGCUGUCCUUGCGACAAACUCUUAUCUCUGGCAACACUCUCUCCUUCUUUCCUCCCUUAUUUUAUGGCAAGAGUUGGUAGAGGAAAGAAGUGGGUAAAGGUGUUGGUCUAAAAGGUGUUUUACUCCCAGCAGCCUGCACACGCAAAUAUCCUUUGGUUUUACAUAUGGUCUGUCUUGGAUUUCGCUUUGGCCAUGUGCUGGAGGCUUCUUGAGAUAUUUUAUAAGUUGUUGGGCCACUUCCUAAGGUGAUGGGCUAAUUUACUAAAGCGAUGGGCCAAUUUACUAAGGUGAUGGGCCAUUUUUCUCUCUUUCAUGCUUACCCACAUAUUUAGGCUCAAGAAAUGGGCUCGAGUUUUGGGGCUCCUAAGUAGCCCAAAACUUCCACUUCUUGGCCCAUCAAUAGGCCUCGUGAAUACUCGUAACCAUCCAUACGACAACCCAGUCAGCAAGCCCCGGACAUUUGCGUGGUUUGUGCACACUUAAGCUUGUUGCGUGGCUAGGUGCAAAAUAAAGGUUUUCCGCUUGGCAUUGCAUGUUGUUUGGCAUGCUCGUGCUCAAAUUUUGCCGUAUUGUAAAGGGCAAUGAUCAGGCCGAAAUGACACUUGACUGGAUAAUAAGCAUGGGUUCAUAGAGCUGGUACAUUUUAUGGGCUUUUAUGACUUUUUGGCAUGACGGGUUACAUAUUUGCUUGGCAUGGCACAUGGACGCUAACUCAUGUGUCAUGUGAGCGCGUCCGACGAACUCUUGCGUACCCAAGUCGGAUAUCCUCUUAGUAAGGUGUCUUAUUGGGCCGGGAGAAUAUAUUUGGGCCCAGCCUUGGAAUUCUGAGCCUCAACACUAGGCACGAGCCGAGCCCUGUCUAGGAGCCCUACCCAAUUUUUUUGAAAUUCUCCCCUACCUAUAUACUCCAACCCAGCCUUGUAAAAAAUAAAAAUAAAAUAAAACAUACCUAGCCACUCCACCCAAUCUGGUUUUAUCUCCCCGAGUCACCUUGUGUGCUCCAUCUCCACCAUCUCACAUGUGAGGGCCCACCCAUAUGUCUUUUUCUCUUUUUCUUGUACACUUAAGGCCCUUUUGGUAGUGUUUUCAGAGAAUGUUUUCUUAGAAUAUUUUCAGAGAGUGAAAAUAAGAAAAUGAAUUUGCAUUUUCAGGAAUUGAAAAUGCGUUUGGUAGAUUAAUUAGAAAACAUAUUCAGAAAACAAAAACAAUGAAAACGUGUCUGGUAGUACAAUUUCAGAAUAAUAAUAUAUGAGUUACUUUUCAAGUGUAUUUUUGCAAAUUUAUGUUCCAAAAAAAUAUUUUAAAAAUGUAUAAUUUAACAAAUAAAAAAUUAUAUUAUUUUUUAAAAGUUAAAACUAUCUUCAUCUCUUUUAUUUUUUGUUUUAUUUUUCCUAUUUUUUCUAUUUUUUCAGCCGACACCGUCCCUUUCUUUUUCUUUUUUCUCCUCCUCCUUUCUUUCUUCCUCUUCUCUCCUUUCUCUUUUCUUCUUCCUUCCCAUCCAAGGCUUGAUAUUCUCUCUCUCUCUCUCUCUCUCUCUCUCUCUCUCUCUCUCUCUCUCCCCUCCUUUGCAGUUUGCUGAGUGGGUGGUGGUUUUGAUGGUAGGGUCAAUUGGGUUCGACUGGGUGGUGGUGUGAUUAGCAAUUGGCUGGUCUGUUGUGGUGAUUGUGGUUCGAUUAGCCUAUAGUGGCUAUUGGGUGGUGGUUGAGAAAGGGGGAGAGAAGAGAAGGGUGAGUGAGGGGGAGAGAAGAUUUUUGUUUUUUGGUCUGAUGGGGAGAGAAGAUUGAGCGAGAGAUUGACAAGAAUGAGCAGCAUCAAUUGUUCUUUUUCAACCUCCCCUGUUUUGAGCAUUACCCAUGAGAAUGAAACAUCUUUUUUUGUUUUGUUUUUUCUUAAAAUUUUUUUAUGUUUUCUACAAGUACACCUGUUUUCAUUUUAUGAAAACAUUCUCAGUGUUUUAUGUUUUUGGCCUAAACCCUAAAC
rnacentral:lncRNA from 1 species